AUUUUGCAUGAAAGGAGGAAAUGUUAGAUUUCCCCCAACAAGGAUGGAAGAAGCCCUUGGGACCAUACAAUACAUACAUGGUUAAGAUACCACUACCUACUUGGUGGCAUUUAACCAUGGGUUUUC
ensembl:snRNA